CGUUAAAGUGUCCUACACCUUACGCAAUCUUCUCGAGGCCAAGUUCGCAGCACAGAACUACAAAGGCUGGAUGGAGGCUUGUUUAGAAGAUGCAGCAGUCGAACGCCUCUACCCCCAUGAAAAAGGGUGCCUGCUGCCAUUCAUGCAUCCGCAAAGAAUGAUGCUCCCAGAACAAGACAUUCAUCUGGAACAUUCACAGCCGACGGCCCCUCCGGCUGGAAGCACCUGCCCACCCCCUACAAGCUGACUUCAACGAUGGCCUCCUGAGCACAGGGCUUCCUGAGAAAGGCCUGGACCCAGGGCAGGGACGCGCUUCCUAAGCCUCUGGAAUUCACUGUGUAGGCGUCAACCGAGGCCGCUGUCUCCUCCAGGGUGAGCCCUCCUGCACUGCUACGACUCACACUGGCAGGGGCUCCAUAUCUCCUGGUGCCAUCUGCUUGCCAUGGUGAACACUAUAGUGAUAAACCACGUCCAUGAAGCAUUUGGGUGACCGGAAACAUGGCUGUGAGCCCACCCCAGGGUCCACACUCACGUCCCGCCCUCUGUGAAUCAACACCAUCCCUCCCCGCCCAGUCAGGGUGUCCUCCACCUUUACCAAAAUGCCGUGCCCAAGACUCCAGCACCGACUCUACAUCCUCCACAGGCUUACCGGACGACCCAGGGGCAAGGUUUUAAGUGACCCCUUAACCUCAGAGUGAGGGGCAAGAGUAGGGAAGAGUGAGACCACAGAAGAGGAAGCACGGAACCUAGGCAAAGUCCAGAGAGGGCACUGCUAUCUGAAAAAUAAAGUUGUGAUUAAUGUGGCCCCAAGACUUGCGCCUUCAAUCUCCAUGGUCCCCGCCUGGCAGACCUGACAGUAAAAACAACUUGUCUCUGCAGCCUCCUCCGGCCUCCCCUCGCACCCCGAAGUGGGUGCAGACAGGCCACACCCAAAUUACAUACCACCCUGGGCCAGAGCUGUCCGCCCAGCGAAGCUAAGUCCACCUUCCAUAAGACCAGGCCUCAUCCCCAGGUGGGUUCACAACC
rnacentral:lncRNA from 1 species